UUUGUGGAGAUAUCUACCUUCUACAAGUUUCAUUACAGAUCUACUUGAGAAGACCAUAUACACUAUAAACGCUUACGUACAGUAGCUCAUACACAUAUGUGAUUCAAUGUAGUUAAGACUGUCCAAUUAAGCUUGUCGCAGUUAGUAAUGUUGUUGAGUAUUUUUGUAAAAAUGAACACAAUCAAAUAGGCGAUGACGUCAUUCGUUGUAUUAAUAUUUUAUGUAUUUUUUUUCCUUGUCGCAUAGUCUUGUUGUGACGUAAUUUAUCAGCUCUUAUUUUGAUAGCAUUUUCGUCAUAUUGUAAUUGAUAGACAAGUUGUACUUUUUUGUGGUCCUGAAUGAUUCAUGUCUUUUUUUACUACUGGCCAGCCUGUGCCAAUUGCCUUGGAUUUUAGCCUAUUAAUUCUUGUUAGGACUAUUUGACCCCUGUUUAGGCCCUGUUUUGAAUACAACUAGAUCAACAACUUCUGAAACUCCAAUAAUACUACCUGCAAGUGCUGCUGAAAGAAAAAUAACCCUAACAGCCUUUAAAUUUACUACAUAGAUUCUAAUGCUAACAACAUCAUUUAGAUCUAGAUGCUGCCUGAAGAUUUCAUGUCUGUGGCAUUUUACCUCUCGAGAAAAGAUUUUUUCCCUUUGCAACUUCUGGUGUGGCUAGAGAGGCCAAUCCUUGAAACACAGCUGUAGUCACAGGUUGAGCACAUGUAAUCACCAGCCACCAUUGCAUUGUCACCUUUCUUCCUGCUGCUGUUGUGUAUGGCAUCUGCAAUCCGAGACCAUUCCUUUAUGCUCGUCUCUCCAUGUGGAUCUAUCCAGUGCCACCUUUUUCCCAGCCGCUAGUGUCGAUUUUGAAGAUGCACACUAUGAUAAACUCAAUGCAGUUGAGUCCAAUAAUCUCCAUGACCACAUUGUUUCAACAAGAACCUGUGUGCAUCACACAUUGUAAGGGUCGAAAUUGAAAAAAAAAUAUUUGUAAGCUAUGUGUCAAAAAUGCUCCUAAUAUUCAAUGAUGAGCUCUGACCAGGAUAACAAUCACACAUUGUGUCCGGAUGGCACUACAUCUGGGUAUCACUUCAAAAUAUCAUAGCACGAGAGCAGCCAUAACAAAAAGUACAACCAGACCAUUACUAUUAUUAUGGAUACAGUGAUGGUCAAUACUGUUGUUGUGUUUUCAAUAAUAGUUUAAUUGCUUUUUAGUUAGUUACAAUGCUAUUAAUAUUAAAAGGUAUUUUUU